rnacentral:rRNA from 1 species
GGGCGCAAGCCUGAACCAGCCAUGCCGCGUGCAGGAUGACGGUCCUAUGGAUUGUAAACUGCUUUUGUACGGGAAGAAACCCUCCUACGUGUAGGAGCUUGACGGUACCGUAAGAAUAAGGAUCGGCUAACUCCGUGCCAGCAGCCGCGGUAAUACGGAGGAUCCAAGCGUUAUCCGGAAUCAUUGGGUUUAAAGGGUCUGUAGGCGGUCUUGUAAGUCAGUGGUGAAAGCCCAUCGCUCAACGGUGGAACGGCCAUUGAUACUGCUGGACUUGAAUUAUUGGGAAGCAACUAGAAUAUGUAGUGUAGCGGUGAAAUGCUUAGAGAUUACAUGGAAUACCAAUUGCGAAGGCAGGUUGCUACCAAUGGAUUGACGCUGAUGGACGAAAGCGUGGGUAGCGAACAGGAUUAGAUACCCUGGUAGUCCACGCCGUAAACGAUGGAUACUAGCUGUUGGGCGCAAGUUCAGUGGCUAAGCGAAAGUGAUAAGUAUCCCACC